AUCGCUUCUCGGCCUUUUGGCUAAGAUCAAGUGUAGUAUCUGAUUUUCAAGUCUUUUUUUCCCUCAUUUUACUGAGGUAUAAUUGACAUAGAACCAGU
rnacentral:snRNA from 2 species